AGAGGAAAAGUUUGGCUGAGGGCAGAAUCUUUGCUUUUAAUCAGUAGGCUUCCCCCCCGCCCCCCUUUACUUCUUGUCUAGGCAGAGUGUGUGUGUAACUUGCAACAAUUCCAUAUAGAUAGAGAUUAAAUGGGGCUGUCACACCAUCUUUCUGAGGCUCCAGUGCACCAGUGUCCCGUCCUGGGAACAGCGACUCCUCCAAUCCUGCCGGAAGCUGCACUGCAGCAACAUGGCGGUCUCCCGGCUCUGAUGGGGCUAGAGAACAGAGCGCAGGCACGUUGCGUGAAGGGUGCGGCGCAUGCGCCCUGCCUGCCUAGAGCUGGAACAGGUAGGCGAGGAGCCCCUUACCUGCCCAGGUGGCCGGAGCCUCGGCAGGUGUGUGUCAGGUGAAGAGGAAGCCGUGGCGGUCGUCUCGGAUCAUCCCACCACCAUGGGGGAGCCGCAGUUGGCGGCAAGAAGAGCUUGCGUUCUUGCCCUUGUGCACGAAUUAAUAAUCAGAGUGAAGCGAGCAGAAGCUGAAAGAUGCAACCCAAAUGAAUCAUCCAGAACGUGGUCAGAUGGAGGUUCAGACUUGGUGUGCAUGAGAUGGGGCCUGAGAGCGUGCAUUUCGGACACCAGUGAGGCUGCUGGUGAAGGCCCACGGAUCUCACAGGAGGGACAAGGCUGAAGAGGACUCAUGAAUGGCUCUGGGAAAAUGACUGGGAUGUGCCCCGGUUCCUGAGAAACAGAAGCGGUAGAAAAAGCUUGUGAAGGAAAACUGGCUGGUGUGGUGGUGGAAGCUGACCAGCUCGGAGAUCUGCAGUUGGCCAGCGGGUGGCCCGGAAAGGCCAAUGCCACAGUCCUAAUCUGUGCCUGCAGGGCCGACAGCCAGGAGUGCUGAGGGUGUGAGUUCCAGUCUGAAUGCCGGCAGGCUUGAGAUGAUAGAAAUUAUGUCCAAAUUUGAGUCUAAAAGCAGGAAAAGAAGGAAGACCCUUUCCCAGCCCGAUGCCUGGUGGGCAAGAGGGCUCCUUCUCACAGGGGUGAACAUUUUUGUUCUAUGCAGGCCUUCACCUGAUCACAUGAGGCCCACCCAAAUUAGGGAGGGCAAUUUUCUUUGCUCAGUUCACCAAUUCAAAUAAUAAUCCCACCUAAGGACACAUGAACAUGUCCAGAAUAAUAUUUCACCAAAUGUCUGGCUACUCUGGCCCCAGACAACUUGACAUAAAGUGAACCAUCCCAGAUUGGGAACGCUUGUACCCUUUUGGAGUCUUCAUGACCCUUGGGUUGACCUUGCUUUUCUUCUCAUAGUUCUUUAGUGAGAAUAUCUAGAUAUGUCUCCUCAUGAGCUAAAUGUUCUUUGCUGCACUGGAUCUCCAAAUAUUCAAGGAUAUUUCUCCAUAGGCUGCCUGGGUUUGUGACAUUUUUAGCAUAAAAAGGACAAACAUUACAUUGAAUUUACAGAGCCCCUUAAUAGAUAUAUAUUGAGUGCUUUCGAUAUAUUGUAUGAAAUAUUAAAUGAUUGUGUGAAAAGUACAAACUAGAGGUCAAAGAAACUGAGGAUAAGAUAGACAUUUGGACUGGAAGCGAUGUGGGUAACAUUGACUAUGCAAUUUGUGGAGUCCAGGGAAAGAUGAAAAUAGGGUACCCUCAUUCAAAAGUUAAGAAAAUUUCAAGAUAGCCAGGGCAGAGCAGUGAGCCAAGUGUGUGGCCCUCUGAGCUUGCAGCCCUGUGGGGUCACACAGGUCAUACACCCAAGAGCUGGACCCGGGUCUGGUGAUUGUGGAGGAAGGAUGGAGACGAGGAACCAAUAUGGUGGAAGGGAAGGUGGAGACUCAGCUCAGGAGCUGGGUGGAAUCAAA
rnacentral:lncRNA from 1 species